rnacentral:piRNA from 1 species
GACAAGACAGGCUGAAUCGAAAAUGGUGU